AUUGAACGCUGGCGGCAUGCUUUACACAUGCAAGUCGAACGGCAGCGCGGGCUUCGGCCUGGCGGCGAGUGGCGAACGGGUGAGUAAUACAUCGGAACGUGCCCAGUAGUGGGGGAUAGCUCGGCGAAAGCCGGAUUAAUACCGCAUACGACCUGAGGGUGAAAGCGGGGGAUCUUCGGACCUCGCGCUAUUGGAGCGGCCGAUGGCAGAUUAGCUAGUUGGUGGGGUAAAGGCCUACCAAGGCGACGAUCUGUAGCUGGUCUGAGAGGACGACCAGCCACACUGGGACUGAGACACGGCCCAGACUCCUACGGGAGGCAGCAGUGGGGAAUUUUGGACAAUGGGCGAAAGCCUGAUCCAGCAAUGCCGCGUGUGUGAUGAAGGCCUUCGGGUUGUAAAGCACUUUUGGCGGGAACGAAAAGGACUGUGCCAAUACCACG
rnacentral:rRNA from 1 species